AUGGCAACUUUAAGGUUUUGUUAUAUUUCUGUGUUGGCCUUCUGUGCUAGGCUUGUUAUUCCGGGCAGUUGCCUUGGUCACUUCUCUGUUCAAAAGGGACACAAGCCUUUGUUUGUGUUUGGGGAUUCACUAUUUGAUGCUGGAAACAAUAACUACAUUAACACUCCCAAGACUGCACAGGCCAACUUCUAGCCAUAUGGAGAAACCUAUUUCGGGUACGCCACCGGGAGAUACACUGAUGGGCGUCAAAUUCCAGACUUCAUUGCUCAGUAUUCGAAUUUGCCAUUGAUUCCACCAUAUCUACAACCCGGUUUAUAUAACUAUGUUUAUGGAGUGAACUUUGCAUCUGGGGGAUCUGGUGCUCUGAAUGAAACUCAUCAAGGUGUGGUGAUAGACCUUCAAACUCAGCUUAGUUAUUUCAAAAUUGUUGAAAAGCAAUUGAGGCACAAAUUAGGCUAUGCACAAGCCAAGACAUUACUUUCUAGUGCUGUCGACCUUUUCAGCGUUGGAAGCAAUGAUUACAUAGCCCCUCUGCAAUAUAACAUCAGCAAGGAAUUCUUUGAGUCCUACUCACAAGAAGAAUUCAUAGGGAUGGUGAUUGGCAACAUAACCCAUGUGGUCAAAGAAAUAUACAAGAAAGGAGGAAGGAAAUUUGGGUUUCUAAGCUUGGGGCCAAUUGGUUGUCAUCCAGCUUUGUUAGUAUUUCAGCAGCCAGCAGGAAAGAUAGGAACUUGCAGAGAAAAACUCACAGAAAUGGCACAAAUACACAAUAAGGCAAUUUCAGAAGCCCUCCAUGCGCUAGAGAUCAAACUAGAAGGAUUCAGAUAUUCGUACUUCGACUUCUAUACUUCCAUGAGUGAAAGAUUGAAUAACCCAACAAAAUACGGUUUGAAGGAAGGGAAGAAGGUAUGCUGUGGAAGCGGUCCAUACAGAGCCAUUAACAAUUGUGGAGGAAAGGGGCCAGAGACGGAGUAUGAACUAUGUGACAAUCCUUCAGAGUAUGUGUUCUUUGAUGGCGGUCAUCCAACAGAAAGAACUAACCAGCAGUUCUCCAAGCUAAUGUGGAGUGGAAAUUCCAAUGUCACAUGGCCUUGCAAUUUUCAAGAACUAUUUGGAUCUUCUUAAGAAAAAUAAAUCUAGUCGACACCAAGUUCUUGAGCUGAAGAAAACAUCUAGGACUGGACUAGUCAAUAAUUAUGUUUUCUGAAUAAACAAGUUUGUUAUACCUUAGCUUUCAACAAUAUGUUAAAUUCAAAUAAGCAUCUGCGUGCUUAAUGUUGUAUGCAUAUAUAAAGCAAUAAAACUGAAGAAGAGCCAACAGAUAAGAGCUUUUCACUAUAA